rnacentral:lncRNA from 1 species
CAAAGUGUAUUUUUCAAAGUAUUUGAUAAAAUAAUUAUUAGUGAUUGAAUCUUGAGAUAUAUUUUGUACCUAGUAAAAUGGGUCAUGCAUGUUAAAUAUCAUUUGAAAUUUAUGUUAUAUGUUAUGAAAUCUGAAAAAUGUGAUUGGGCAAAUAAUGAAAAAUCUAUUUUGUAUACAUGUAUGUAUUCUCAGCAUGGUUAUGAUCUGGCCCCGCCAAUGGAGAUUAUUCGUUAACCCUGUCGACUUGUAUCUGUGAAAGACCGAUUUCGACACCGUACCACCAGUGAUUAGAAUAUUGGUGUUUGGACACUGUACCACCGGUGUUUAAUAAUAGUGGUGUUUGGACACUGUACCACUGGUGUAUAAUAAUAGUGAUGUUUGGCACUUUGUGCAACCCAUGCCACUGGGUUAUGUGGCCGUAGCCUAUAUAUAGUUGGGAUUUUAGUAUCAGAGUUUUUAUGAAAAUGAUGAUAAAUUUUGAAAAAAAGUAAAAAUAUGCUUAUUUGUGAUUAAAUUUUCAGUCAUUAUUUUGUGUUUUAAUUAAAUAUUUGAUAUGUUUUGACCCCACUCUGGGGUAUUAUGUUGCUUACUAGGCUAGUGUAGCUUAUCUUAUUUUAUUUGUUUUUCAGAUCCAGAAGCUUGAUCGCACAGGAUUGGGGAGUGCAAUAGAUUUUGGAAGUUUUUGCUAAAAUUAGAAUUUUGGUUAGUCAAACUAAAAUAUUUGAAUUAUGUUAACAAAUGCAAAUUUUGGAAACUUUGUAAGAUUGUUUUGUAUAUAUAUUAAUGUUUAAGUAAAAUUUUAGGCAUGUGUGAUAGCUUUGAUAUGGUCAGUUGCCUUGCGCGCCCGUGCGGCCCACCGCGCGGGCGUGCGGCGUCUGUCGCGCUCUAGGCUCGGGACGUGACAAAUUCGGUGGUAUCAGAGCCUAGGUUUUAGGAUUCCUAAGAUUCGUUGGAAAGGUUGAGAGAUAGGUAGGAUUUAGACAAGAGGAUAAUAUUAUUUACUUUUUGUUAUAAAUACAUUAAUUGAAGAAAAUAUUUUAUUAAUAUUUAUUAUAAAUAUAUUAAUUGAAGAAAAUAAUUUAUGUUAAUCUCAUAUUAAAUUCUUGACUGCUAGGUUGCCGUAAGCAACAUGGAGGAUGAAAGAGAAAUAAGGGUACCUUCCCCGGACCCUGACAGCCAAUCAAUUUCACCAACCACUCCACACUCCGUAGCAACCCAAGCAGACCUGGCAAGAGUGUACCAGUUAAUGGCACAACUGUUUCAGCAACAGCAACCGAUGCAGUUGGCUGCCCAACCUGUACAGCCGAUGGAUUCCUAUUACGAGAGGUUCCGUAGGCUGAAUCCACCGAUGUUUGAUAGUGGCUCCGAUCCCAUGAUAGCUGAGACCUGGAUCCGAGAAAUGGAGAUGUAUUAGUUACUCCAAUUUUCCGAGGAGGUAAAAGUCAGACUAGCUAUCUCUAUGCUAAGGGGCAAUGUUGAGUUUUGGUGGUUUGCUAUGGAGACAGCAUAUGAGGUCAACAGAAUGACCUGGAGAGAUUUUAAGAGGUUAUUUUAUGCUCAGUACUUUUUAGACUCAGUUAGGCAAAUAAAGCAGAAUGAGUUUUUAUCGUUGACUCAGUCCGAGCAUAUGACUGUCUUGGAUUACGCCAAUAGGUUCAAUGAGUUGGGUUGAUUCUGCCCCCAGUUCAUGGAGGACGAUACGAGUAGAGCCAACCGGUUCGAACAAGGGCUUAGAUAUGGGAUCAAAUCCCGGACAUCUUCACAGUUAAUUACCAGCUAUAGGGAUAUUUUGGACAGAGCCUUGAAAGUGGAGGCUGAAUUGAAAAGAUAUGAUAGAGAAAGGGCUGACCUGAUGAGAUCUAGACCAGCUAGAAGUCAGAGUGCCAGGCCAUGGGAUUUCAGGGGCACUCCGAUUCAGAAGCUCAGGGCCCGCACUUACUCUGGCAGAUCCCAUAGUGGGCCCUAUCUGAGGAGAGCGGAGGCAUGUUAUAGUUGUGGGCAGACUGGACACCUGGCAUGUAAUUGCCCGUACAAGAGGAGGAAUGAGCCCAAACCUCCUGUACCUAGUGACCAGAGGCCAAGAAGCAAUGCUCGAGUUUUGCACUGACCCACCAAGAUGCCAGUACCAAUGACCGGGUGGUGAUAGAUACAUUACCAGUCAACUCGGUUGAUGCCUCUAUUUUGUUCGAUUCUUGCUCUACCCAUUUCUUUAUUUUAGUUAGUUUUUCUAGAUAAUUACACUGCAUACCUGAGAAACUAAAAGAACCAUUGCAUGUUACUACACCCCUAUAGAAAAUAGUAAUUGUUGACAUUAGGUACAAAAAUUGCAUAAUUCAAAUAAGGGUAGGAGAGCUAGUAACAAAUCUUAUACAACUUGACAUGCAAGACUUUGACAUCAUUUUGGGAAUGGACUAGAUGCCGUACCACACUCAUAGUGACUGCUACAAUAAAGAGUGAUAUUCUAGAUACCUGAUGAACUAGGGUUCUUCUUCCAAGGCGAUGCACCCCUGCAAUGUAAUUCAUCAUUGCAUUUUAUUUCUAUCCUGAAAGUCGUGAAGGCAUUAAGAAAGAGGUGUAAGACUUAUUUAGCCUGUGUAAUGGGUACCCGAAAGGAGACCAACUGGAAGAUAUUCCAGUAGUCAGGAAAUACACGGAUGUUUUUUUUAAACGGAUUACCGGAAUUACCCCCUAAUCGAGAGUCGAAUUCACCAUCGAUCUCGCGCCAGGAGGAGGACCUAUUUCCAAAGCUCCUUAUCGAAUGGCCCUGCCGAGCUGAGGGAAUUAGAGAUCCAGCUACAAGAACUCCUGGACAAGAUUUUUAUCCAGCCUAGUGUAUCUUCGUGGGGAGCCUCUGUCCUGUUUGUGAAAAAGAAAGAUGGGAGUAUCCGGUUGUGUAUCGAUUAUCGAGAUUGGACAGGUAACAAUAAAGAACAAAUAUCCUCUGCCUCAGAUUGAUGAAUCUUGUAAGGUGUAUACGGAUCACAGAAGUCUAAAAUACCUCUUUACUUAAAAGGAACUCAAUAUGAGACAGGAAAGAUGGUUAGAAUUGAUAAAAGAUUAUGACUUGUCUAUACAUUACCAUCCGAAAAAAGCUAAUGUUGUGGUAGAUGCACUGAUGGUAAUAUUGCUGCUCUACUCACCUCCGGAAAAAGCUCAUGUUGUGGUAGAUGCACUGAGCAAAAAAAAAGCUUCUGGUAGUAUUGCUGCUCUGCUCACUUCCAGAAAAAGCUAAUGUUGUGGUAGAUGCACUGAGCAGAAAAGCUUCUGGUAGUAUUGCUGCUCUACUCACCUCUCAGAAGAAAAUCUUGGAAGAUCUGAGGAGAGCAGAAAUCGAGAUAUGUUGGCACGAUCUUGAUGCAUAAUUGGCAAAUCUACGUGUCCAACCUAACUUGAUAGAGAGGAUCAGAAUUGCUCAAUUAGAUAACCUUCAAUUGCAAAACAUUAGAAGUGGUAUUGAGACAGGUUCUCAGUCAAAAUUCAGACUUCAUGAGGAUGGAUCAUUCAGAUUCAGAAACAGAAUUUGUAUCCAAAUGACUCUGAUUUAAAAAGAGAAAUUAUGAGAGAAGCUCAUAAUACUGGAUAUACAAUACAUCUUGGGAGUACUAAGAUGUUUAAGGAUUUGAAAAAUAUAUUCUGAUGGAAUAACAUAAAGAGAGAAAUUGUACAGUUUGUAGCUCAGUGUUUGACUAAUCAGCAAGUUAAGACAGAGCACCAGAGACCGGCAGGAUUGUUAUGUCCCCUUUCAAUUCUUGAAUGGAGGUGAGAAUACAUCUCAAUAGACUUCGUCUCUUAUGUUGCCUCGUAAGGAUUAUGAUGCUAUAUAGGUGAUUGUAGCCAGAUUGACUAAGUCGGCACACUUUUUGGCACGCAAAGUGGGAAUGACACUAGAAAAGUUUGCAGAGCUCUAUAUUGAGCAGAUAGUGAGGUUGCAUGGAAUACCCAUAUCCAUUGUUUCCGAUAGAGACUCGCGGUGUGUAUCUCACUUUUGGGGUAGUCUGCAUAAAGCUUUGGGGACCACUCUCAGCUUUAGCGCAGCUUUCCACCCUCAGACCGAUGGCCCGUCAGAAAGAACCAUUCAGAUCUUGGAGAAUAUGCUGAGGGCUUGUGUGAUUGAUAUAAGAGGCUAGUGGGUACUGGAGGACAAGAUGAAAAAAUAUUCAGACCUUUUGAAAGCUAAGGUAUGUUAAAUUUCGAGGACGAAAUUUUUAAAAGGAGGGGAGAAUGUGACGAUUGGGCCCCAGAUAGGCUAACCUGGGCCAAAGUCGGCAGCCCAUCUGGAGGCCACUAUCUAUUGCUUCAAGGGGAGGUAUGCCUGUCAGGUGUUAAUGCGGUUACAACCGCCUAAAAGCCCUCUAAAUGCCAUUCUGAAAUCCCCUAUGCCUUCCUUCCUCCCUGUACACUCCCUCCCAAAUUCGGAAGCUGUCGGAUAUUGGCACCCGUCGGUGUCACCAGAGAAGGUGCACGCGGACUCCUCCUCGGAACUAGGUGAGCCUCCUGACCCUCUCGUUUCUUUUUUUCCGUACCUUUCUUCUUUCCGAUUUACUCAGGAUAACAGAGGGAGGGAGGAGAGAGAGAGAGAGAGAAAGAAAGAAAGAACAGGAAGGGGGGGCUCACCCGUGCGUCUCCUCCACGGAAAGAAGGUGAAGGCCAGACGCUGCGGGUGCUGCCGGUCUCGGCCUGGGCCUUCCGAGCACUCCGGCGAGGGACCGCUCCCUUGUGUUCACGGGAAAGAGGAGGCCGGGCAGCGAACGUCACCGGUGCCGCCGGCCUCAGGUCAUUUUUUUUCCCGAGCUCCCUCUUCGCCGUGGGUUCUCCUCUCGAGCUCUCUCUCCAUCGUGGGGUUCCCCCAAGCUCCGGCUUGGGAUCUUCCUCCUUUUGUGCUCAUGGGAGAAGAGUGGGAAAGUGAGAGGAAGAAGAGAAAGAGAAGGGAAACAGGAAGCUUUGGAAAGAAGAAAAGAGAAAGGAAAGAGAAAGAGAAGAAAAAGAAAAGGAAAAGAAGAAAAAGAAAAGAGAAAAAAAAGAGAGAGAAAGCCCAUCGUGGGCCGAACUGGGCCAAGCUUGGGCUCUGUUCAUUGCGGGCCUAACUUGGGCCUAGUUCAACCAUGUUGGGCCUAGUUGGAGCCGUACCCCUUUGUGGACCCAACUUGAGCCCAGUUCAGCCUUGUUGGACCCUAUUUGGGCCGUACCCAUUGUGGACCCAACUUGGGCUCAGUUCAGCCGUAUGGGGCCCUGUUGGGCCGUGUCCAAUAGUAUUUUAAGUUUUGCUUCACUCUGAGAUUAACAAAAAUUUAUUAUAUCUAAACAGAUGCACUUGAUCUGUUUGUUUGAAGUGNNNNNNNNNNNNNNNNNNNNAGAUGCACUUGAUCUGUUUGUUUGAAGUGGGAUUUAAGCAAGAAAAGGUAAGUAAUUUAAUACCUCAAAGUGUAUUUUUCAAAGUAUUUAAAAUAAUUAUUUGUGAUUGAAUCUUGAGUUAUAUUUUGUACCUAGUAAAAUGGGUCAUGCAUGUUAAAUAUCAUUUGAAAUUUAUGUUAUAUGUUAUGAAAUCUGAAAAAUGUGACUAGGCAAAUGAUGAAAAAUCUAUUUUUUAUACAUGUAUGUAUUCUCAGCAUGGCUAUGAUCUAGCCCUGCCAAUGGAGAUUAUUCGUUGGCCCUGUCGACUUGUAUCUGUGAGAGACCGAUUUCGACAUUGUACCACCGGUGAUUAGACUAGUGGUGUUUGGACACCGUACCACCGGUAUUUAAUAAUAGUGAUGUUUGGACACCGUACCACCGGUGUAUAAUAAUAGUGGU